AAACCGCUUUUUUAGGAAAGCGGUAAAAAUCCUCCCGAAGGUGGGACGUGCUGUAAAACUCAUCGCGGCCCGCUUCCAAAGGAGGAAAAAGGCUUCGCCACCCUGGGUCCCGUUAUUGGCAGCUCGUGGCACGCCAAGCCCGGCGGUGCUCAGGCGUCUCUCCCGCCAGCUUCCCCUCCGCGGUGCCCGCCGGGGGACCACGCCGACGUGACGACAGCAUGCACCGCCACCGACCGAUCAUGCUCGAGCCCCUGGCCCGCCCCGGCGCAGGAGGAACGGGGGUAGAGGUGGUUUGAUUCCUCUGGCUGCGCCCCAGGACAGCCUUGACGUGGAGAUAAAGUAUCUCAAGGAUCCGUCCCGUUGCAAAACCCUAAAAUAAAUAAACAAACCAGGGUAUUUUAGGUCCUGUAGCCAUUGCAUCCAAGAGAGCCUGGAGAAAAGGUUGAACCUCGUGUCAGCUGUGGAAGACAGGGUUUGAGCAACCAAAACAAACUUUUACGAAUUCUGCCCUAAGCCACAGUUGUAUAAACUCUACACCUGAUCUCAAGAUCCACGGGAUGUUGUGCAUCUCACUGACAGCAGAGUCCUUGAUCUCCCUACUUGGCUUUGACAGGAGAUGUGGGAGAUGAGAGG